rnacentral:rRNA from 1 species
CCUACGGGAGGCAGCAGUGGGGAAUAUUGCACAAUGGGGGAAACCCUGAUGCAGCGACGCCGCGGGAGUGAAGAAGGAAUUCGGGAUGUAAAGCUCUAGCAGCAGGGAAGAAAAGGACGGUACCUGAGUAAGAAGCCCCGGCGAACUACGUGCCAGCAGCCGCGGUAAUACGGAGGGGGCAAGCGUUAGCCGGAUUUACUGGGUGUACAGGGAGCGUAGACGGCUGUGCAAGUCUGGAGUGACAGGCGGGGGCUCCACCCCCGGACUGCUCUGGAAACGGUACGGCUUGAGUGCAGGAGAGGUAAGUGGACUUCCUCUUGUAGCGGUGACAUGCUUAUCUCUUAGGAGGCACCCCAGUGGCGCAGGCGGCUUACUGGACUGUACCUUCCGUUGUGGCUC